CUCAGGACCAGAAAACAGGUAAAAAAAACAACAUGAGAUGAUACUUUAAUAUAUCAAGUGUGCUCGCAGCUUUUUAUGUGGCUUUGUUAGUAUGCUUAGCAGAUGAUCAAACAGAACAGAAGACAGUUGUUUGUGGUCCUGGCUGUACUGCUCUUUUAUCUCUUGUGCUAUGUUAAAGGACUGACUCUGAACUCUAGACCAACAGAUCCUCCUAAGCUGCACAGUUGAACCAGUUUCAGAGAUGUCCACGCAACACUGGAGGCCCCUGUUGACUAGACCAGUCUCCUCUGGCAGCACAAUAACUGUUUGAUGAAGAAAGAACACAAAAUCUGAUUUAAGCCCAGUGCUGAGCUACUAAUGGAGGACAAGCCUGUUAGAGCAACACGCCACGCUUUACUAUCAGCACACCAGGGACAAACACACACACACACAC